rnacentral:misc_RNA from 1 species
AACGCACGAGACCUGCGGACCUGCGGAAGGAUCAUUACCGAGUUUACAAAACUCCCAAACCCUUUGUGAACCUUACCUAUCGUUGCUUCGGCGGGACCGCCCCGGCGCCCUCGCGGCCCGGAACCAGGCGCCCGCCGGAGGCCCCAAACCCUCAUGUCUUUAGUGGUUUCCUCCUCUGAGUGACAUAAACAAAUAAAGUAAAAACUUUUAACAACGGAUCUCUAGAUCGGAAGAGCACAC